rnacentral:rRNA from 1 species
GAUGAACGCUGGCGGCGUGCCUAAUACAUGCAAGUCGAGCGAACAGAUGAGGAGCUUGCUCCUCUGACGUUAGCGGCGGACGGGUGAGUAACACGUGGAUAACCUACCUAUAAGACUGGGAUAACUUCGGGAAACCGGAGCUAAUACCGGAUAAUAUAUUGAACCGCAUGGUUCAAUAGUGAAAGACGGUUUUGCUGUCACUUAUAGAUGGAUCCGCGCCGCAUUAGCUAGUUGGUAAGGUAACGGCUUACCAAGGCAACGAUGCGUAGCCGACCUGAGAGGGUGAGCGGCCACACUGGAGUUGCGACACGGACCAGACUCCUACGGGAGGCAGCAGUAGGGAAUCUUGCGCAAUGGGCGAAAGCCUGACGGAGCAACGCCGCGUGAGUGAUGAAGGUCUUCGGAUCGUAAAACUCUGUUAUUAGGGAAGAACAAAUGUGUAAGUAACUAUGCACGUCUUGACGGUACCUAAUCAGAAAGCCACGGCUAACUACGU